AGAGUUUGAUCCUGGCUCAGGAUGAACGCUGGCGGCGUGCUUAACACAUGCAAGUCGAACGGACUUUACAUGAAGCCUAGCGAAUGUAAAGUUAGUGGCGGACGGGUGAGUAACGCGUGGGUAACCUGCCUCACACAGGGGGAUAACACUUAGAAAUAGGUGCUAAUACCGCAUAAGCGCACAGCUUCGCAUGAAGCAGUGUGAAAAACUCCGGUGGUGUGAGAUGGACCCGCGUCUGAUUAGCUAGUUGGUGAGGUAACGGCCCACCAAGGCGACGAUCAGUAGCCGGCCUGAGAGGGUGAACGGCCACAUUGGGACUGAGACACGGCCCAAACUCCUACGGGAGGCAGCAGUGGGGAAUAUUGCACAAUGGGGGGAACCCUGAUGCAGCGACGCCGCGUGAGUGAAGAAGUAUUUCGGUAUGUAAAGCUCUAUCAGCAGGAAAGAAAAUGACGGUACCUGACUAAGAAGCUCCGGCUAAAUACGUGCCAGCAGCCGCGGUAAUACGUAUGGAGCAAGCGUUAUCCGGAUUUACUGGGUGUAAAGGGAGCGUAGACGGUUUGGUAAGUCUGAAGUGAAAGCCCGGGGCUCAACCCCGGGACUGCUUUGGAAACUAUCGAACUAGAGUGCAGGAGAGGUAAGCGGAAUUCCUAGUGUAGCGGUGAAAUGCGUAGAUAUUAAGAGGAACACCAAAGGCGAAGGCAGCUUACUGGCCGACAUCUGACGCUCAGGCUCGAAGGUAUGGGUAGCAAAAGGGAUUAGAUACCCCUGUAGUCCAUACUGUAAACGAUGCAGACUAAGUCUUGUGGCAUUCGACCGCCUCAGGACCUAAGCGAACGCGAUAAGUCUGCCGCCUGAGGACUACGGUCGCAAGACUAAAACUCAAAGGAAUUGACGGGGGCCCGCACAAGCGGUGGAGCAUGUGGCUUAAUUCGAUGCAACGCGAAGAACCUUACCUAGACUUGACAUUGACUUGAAAUACUGAUGAAAGUUAGUAUGUCUUCGGACAAGUUAACAGGUGCUGCAUGGCUGUCGUCAGCUCGUGUCGUGAGAUGUUCGGUUAAGUCCGGCAACGAGCGCAACCCUCGCUUCUAGUUACCAUCAUUUAGUUGGGGACUCUAGAGGGACUACCCCUUUUGGGGAGGAAGGUGGGGAUGACGUCAAGUCAGUAUGGCCCUUACGUCUAGGGCUGCACACGUGCUACAAUGCAUUAUACAAAGGGAUGCAAUAUCGUGAGAUGGAGUCAAUCCUUAAAAUAGUGCCCAGUUCAGAUUGUAGUCUGCAAUUCGACUACAUGAAGUCGGAAUCGCUAGUAAUGGCGCAUCAGCUAUGGCGCCGUGAAUACGUUCCCGGGCCUUGUACUCACCGCCCGUCA
rnacentral:rRNA from 1 species